UUGGUAAAAACACAUCAACACUACUGCUACUUCUGUGAGUUGACCCAUCCAUUUUCCGAGAAACGGAGAAUCAGUGGGCCAAAGAGAACCAACAAUAAAGCUAGAAACGGAAGGAGCUGUAGAGAGAGAAAUUGAAAAUUAUAGAGAGUUACAGACUCUUCGAUUAUGUUAAAAAGCUGGGACUUUUGUGUUAAUUUCUCUCUUUUUUUUUGGGUUUGUUUCUCUCUCUUCUAUUUCUCUCUCUCUC
rnacentral:misc_RNA from 1 species